CAGCGUAUGAAUAAAACUGUCUGUGAAAAUUUCUAUCAGAGUCUCCAUUUAAAAUGUAACUUCUUCUCUGACCAUUUGCAAGUCAGCUGCAUCGUGGAGAUGUGCAGUACAGACAUUUCAAAUAGGGGAAAGAGAAGAAAGAGAACAUGAAACUGCUCUGCUCCAGUGCGAGGGGACUCGACAAGGUGCCCAAAUCCUCCAGAGAGCCAGACUCAACCUCCUCUGCUUGGGAGCUUGGAGCCUCUGCGGAGUAGAACAGGACCAGGUUUCCAGUUUAUCAAGGUCAUGCUGAAUCCUACUUAUAUCCUCCAAAGUGCCUGCAAUUUCUCCCAGCUUGGCAUUAUCUGCAAAUUUGGUUUCUUUCUGCACUGGGUUGAAUAAGGGAAGUUAAAGAUAAACUUGGCCUUCACAAUCAGCUCCUUGGGAGAAGCACCUGGGACAAUACACACGAAUACCCUGUUGAAAGUGCACAGCUUUUUAUGCCUGUUUACAGAAAGAACAGCAAUCUGAAUGAAGGGCUGCAGGAUAUUGCUCAGAAGAUAUGAAGCGCUACAGAAGGAGGUUGUAGGUUUCCCCAUGACAAGAAGCUUCUCCUAUCUUCUGCUGAACCACAUUCCAGAGUGUGCACACAAUAGAUUCGGAAAGCUCGCAGCAAAUGUUCAUUACUGUGAGCCUCAAGGCUGUCUCAGGAAGGAUCCAUCAAGAGAAUGGUAAUGGAUAAGGGAAGAGCUGAUCAAUAAUAGACCCAGUCUAGGAUUAAAUGGAUCAGAGAAGUUAGCCUUCAAGCAAAUUAGCAGAGCACACAGGGGUAAAUACUAAUGGUAUUUGUGCUGUUUCUUUUCAUUAGAUAAAUAGGUAAUUUCUGAUGUCAAUGCAGGCUUCUCUCACCUGAACUGAAUUUACUUUAAGAAGAAAGUGAUUCUUCAUUCGGAGAACUUUGGAAAUUGUGGAGUAGAAAUUGCUCAGCAACAAAGUGAGCUUUCUUGGCAAAGAUAAAUAAAUGUAGCCAUUGGUA